GAUGAACGCUGGCGGCGUGCCUAAUACAUGCAAGUCGAGCGAACGGACGAGAAGCUUGCUUUUCUGAUGUUAGCGGCGGACGGGUGAGUAACACGUGGAUAACCUACCUAUAAGACUGGGAUAACUUCGGGAAACCGGAGCUAAUACCGGAUAAUAUUUUGAACCGCAUGGUUCAAAAGUGAAAGACGGUCUUGCUGUCACUUAUAGAUGGAUCCGCGCUGCAUUAGCUAGUUGGUAAGGUAACGGCUUAUCAAGGCAACGAUGCAUAGCCGACCUGAUAGGGGGAUCGGCCACACUGGAGCUGAGACACGGUCCAGACUCCUACGGAAGGCACCAGUAGGGAAUCUUCCGCAAUGGGCGAAAGCCUGACGGAGCAACGCCGCGUGAGUGAUGAAGGUCUUCGGAUCGUAAAACUCUGUUAUUAGGGAAGAACAUAUGUGUAAGUAACUGUGCACAUCUUGACGGUACCUAAUCAGAAAGCCACGGCUAACUACGUG
rnacentral:rRNA from 1 species